rnacentral:rRNA from 1 species
CAUGCAAGUCGACGGUGAAGCCAAGCUUGCUUGGUGGAUCAGUGGCGAACGGGUGAGUAACACGUGAGCAACCUGCCCUGGACUCUGGGAUAAGCGCUGGAAACGGCGUCUAAUACUGGAUAUGAGACGUGAUCGCAUGGUCGUGUUUGGAAAGAUUUUUCGGUCUGGGAUGGGCUCGCGGCCUAUCAGCUUGUUGGUGAGGUAAUGGCUCACCAAGGCGUCGACGGGUAGCCGGCCUGAGAGGGUGACCGGCCACACUGGGACUGAGACACGGCCCAGACUCCUACGGGAGGCAGCAGUGGGGAAUAUUGCACAAUGGGCGGAAGCCUGAUGCAGCAACGCCGCGUGAGGGAUGACGGCCUUCGGGUUGUAAACCUCUUUUAGCAGGGAAGAAGCGAAAGUGACGGUACCUGCAGAAAAAGCGCCGGCUAACUACGUGCCAGCAGCCGCGGUAAUACGUAGGGCGCAAGCGUUAUCCGGAAUUAUUGGGCGUAAAGAGCUCGUAGGCGGUUUGUCGCGUCUGCUGUGAAAUCCCGAGGCUCAACCUCGGGCCUGCAGUGGGUACGGGCAGACUAGAGUGCGGUAGGGGAGAUUGGAAUUCCUGGUGUAGCGGUGGAAUGCGCAGAUAUCAGGAGGAACACCGAUGGCGAAGGCAGAUCUCUGGGCCGUAACUGACGCUGAGGAGCGAAAGGGUGGGGAGCAAACAGGCUUAGAUACCCUGGUAGUCCACCCCGUAAACGUUGGGAACUAGUUGUGGGGACCAUUCCACGGUUUCCGUGACGCAGCUAACGCAUUAAGUUCCCCGCCUGGGGAGUACGGCCGCAAGGCUAAAACUCAAAGGAAUUGACGGGGACCCGCACAAGCGGCGGAGCAUGCGGAUUAAUUCGAUGCAACGCGAAGAACCUUUCCAAGGCUUGACAUAUACGAGAACGGGCGAGAGAUGGUCAACUCUUUGGACACUCGUAAACAGGUGGUGCAUGGUUGUCGUCAGCUCGUGUCGUGAGAUGUUGGGUUAAGUCCCGCAACGAGCGCAACCCUCGUUCUAUGUUGCCAGCACGUAAUGGUGGGAACUCAUGGGAUACUGCCGGGGUCAACUCGGAGGAAGGUGGGGAUGACGUCAAAUCAUCAUGCCCCUUAUGUCUUGGGCUUCACGCAUGCUACAAUGGCCGGUACAAAGGGCUGCAAUACCGUGAGGUGGAGCGAAUCCCAAAAAGCCGGUCCCAGUUCGGAUUGAGGUCUGCAACUCGACCUCAUGAAGUCGGAGUCGCUAGUAAUCGCAGAUCAGCAACGCUGCGGUGAAUACGUUCCCGGGUCUUGUACACACCGCCCGUCAAGUCAUUUUUGUCGGUAACACCUGAAGCCGGUGGCCCAACCCUUGUGGAGGGAGCCGUCGAAGGUG